AUGAGUUUCACAUUGUAGACCUAGACCCCACUGAUUCAAUGGUUUGCCUCCCUGGACAUUAGGGGUCGAUCCCUUUGCACUCCUUGAAGAAGUAUGUUGUCCAGCCAGCAUUGUUUGCUGUCAUCUUGUUGGAAACCCUAAAUCUUAAAUCCUAGAUCCUAAACGCUGCUUUAUCUAUAAAGCAAGAAGAAGAACUGCCCAAGAACAAAGCAACCAGGAAUGAUAAGCCUCUGAUCAUCCUGGAUCAUGGCCAUCCCUGAGGAUUCUAGGCAGAUAGAUAACUGUCAUUGAGCUCAGGAAGGAGAGAGAAGCUUCUCACGACUCAAUGGCUUAAUUAUCCUAAUAAUCAUCUAGUCCAGCUUCCAUGAACAAUCAAACUUCCCAUUCUUUAUUAUGGGCCGUGACCCCUACGAUCAUGCUAUCAAUGCCAUUCUCCUGCUGCAUCCUUGUUGCCUAUAUCAUUCUGAUCAUCCACUGAGAUCUCAAGGAUAGACACCAAGAGACCAACAGCCCUAGGGAGAAAGAAAAAAUGGUGAAGAAACUCCGAAGUACAGGGGCUUCUCAGAAAGGAGUUCAACAUUGAGAUUGGUUUUGUGUUGAAGAUGAUAGGAAACAAGGAUGUUGUGUGAGAUUGUCGUUGGUAGCAUGUUCAUGGAGGUCACGGCCCAUAAUAAAGAAUGGGAAUUAAGUUCGAGAGUUUGUGAAGGCUGGACUGGAUAUCUUCACAAGAAGCUGCAGACCCCUGAGAGGCUCAUCUCUAUUGUCCAAAAUCCAAAGGACGGCCAUGAUCGACCCUUAAUGAUCAGAACCUUACCAUUUACAAAUCAAAAUGUUUUAAGCUGUCGUAAAAAAAAAUCCAGGGCCCACGCAUUGCCCCUAAAUAAUAGAAACCAAAGGCCCAAAAAUUAGGCUUAUGCUUGUAUAUCAGAUGCAGAGGUUAUGUAGUUGAGCCAAAUGUAAUGGAAAAAAUUCUUUUAAAUAA